rnacentral:rRNA from 1 species
GGCGAACGGGUGAGUAAUGCAUCGGAACGUGCCCAUGUUGUGGGGGAUAACUACGCGAAAGCGUAGCUAAUACCGCAUAAGCCCUGAGGGGGAAAGCGGGGGAUUCUUCGGAACCUCGUGCGAUUGGAGCGGCCGAUGUCGGAUUAGCUAGUAGGUGAGGUAAAGGCUCACCUAGGCGACGACCCGUAGCGGGUCUGAGAGGAUGAUCCGCCACACUGGGACUGAGACACGGCCCAGACUCCUACGGGAGGCAGCAGUGGGGAAUUUUGGACAAUGGGCGCAAGCCUGAUCCAGCCAUGCCGCGUGAGUGAAGAAGGCCUUCGGGUUGUAAAGCUCUUUCGGCCGGGAAGAAAUCGGCGACUCUAACAUAGUCGCUGGAUGACGGUACCGGACUAAGAAGCACCGGCUAACUACGUGCCAGCAGCCGCGGUAAUACGUAGGGUGCGAGCGUUAAUCGGAAUUACUGGGCGUAAAGCGUGCGCAGGCGGUUUUGUAAGACAGAUGUGAAA